rnacentral:misc_RNA from 1 species
CCGAAGAAGCUUAAUAAUGGGAGAGGAAGAGCUAGAGCAAGAGCAAGAGCAGGUCGUGAAUCCAUGGGAGGUGUCGGCCAAAGACGGUGGGAAGAUCGAUUACGACAAGCUAAUCGACAAAUUCGGAUGCCAGAGGCUGGGAUCAAUCUCUAAUCGACCGCGUCCAUCGUCUCACCGGCAGCCCUCCCCACGUCUUCCUCCGCCGAGGGGUCUUCUUCGCCCACAGGGAUUUCAAUGAGAUAUUGGACGCUUACGAGGGAGGCAAAAAGUUCUAUCUCUAUACUGGUAGAGGCCCCUCCUCUCAAUCUCUGCAUUUGGGCCAUCUCAUUCCUUUUAUGUUCACCAAAUAUUUGCAAGAGGCAUUCAAGGUUCCACUUGUUAUACAGCUUACUGAUGAUGAGAAGUGUAUGUGGAAAAAUCUCUCUGUGGAGGAGAGCAAAAGACUGGCACGUGAAAAUGCAGAGAUAUUAUUGCUUGUGGAUUUGAUAUCACUAGAACUUUCAUUUUCCAAGAUUUUGAGUAUGUUGGUGGUUCCUUCUACAAUAACAUGGUGAAGGUUGAAAAGUGUGUCACAUAUAACAAGGUUGUGGGUAUUUUUGGUUUUUCUGGUGAAGAUCAUAUUGGGAAAGUUAGCUUCCCAGCUGUCCAGGCAGUUCCAUCUUUUCCGAGCUCAUUCCCACACCUUUUCUCGGGCAAAGAUGACCUCCGUUGCUUAAUUCCAUGUGCAAUUGACCAGGAUCCAUAUUUCAGAAUGACACGAGAUGUUGCUCCUCGGAUAGGAUAUCACAAGCCUUCAUUGAUUGAAUCCUCAUUCUUCCCUGCAUUGCAGGGGGAGACAGGAAAAAUGUCAGCCAGUG